rnacentral:rRNA from 1 species
CAAGCGUUAUCCGGAUUUAUUGGGCGUAAAGCGAGCGCAGGCGGUUUUUUAAGUCUGAUGUGAAAGCCCUCGGCUUAACCGAGGAAGUGCAUCGGAAACUGGGAAACUUGAGUGCAGAAGAGGACAGUGGAACUCCAUGUGUAGCGGUGAAAUGCGUAGAUAUAUGGAAGAACACCAGUGGCGAAGGCGGCUGUCUGGUCUGUAACUGACGCUGAGGCUCGAAAGCA